rnacentral:rRNA from 1 species
GAUGAACGCUGGCGGCGUGCCUAAUACAUGCAAGUCGAGCGAACAGAUGAGGAGCUUGCUCCUCUGACGUUAGCGGCGGACGGGUGAGUAACACGUGGAUAACCUACCUAUAAGACUGGGAUAACUUCGGGAAACCGGAGCUAAUACCGGAUAAUAUAUUGAACCGCAUGGUUCAAUAGUGAAAGACGGUUUUGCUGUCACUUAUAGAUGGAUCCGCGCCGCAUUAGCUAGUUGGUAAGGUAACGGCUUACCAAGGCAACGAUGCGUAGCCGACCUGAGAGGGUGAUCGGCCACACUGGAACUGAGACGCGGUCCAGACUCCUACGGGAGGCAGCAGUAGGGAAUCUUCCGCAAAGGGCGAAAGCCUGACGGAGCAACGCCGCGUGAGUGAUGAAGGUCUUCGGAUCGUAAAACUCUGUUAUUAGGGAAGAACAAAUGUGUAAGUAACUAUGCACGUCUUGACGGUACCUACUCAGAAAGCCACGGCUAACUACGUG